UACGGGGGGGUGCGAGCGUUGUCCGGAAUCACUGGGCGUAAAGGGCGCGUAGGUGGCCUGAUAAGGGUGUGGUGAAAGUCCGGGGCUCAACCCCGGAUCUGCCGUGCCGACUAUUGGGCUAGAGUACUGUAGGGGCAGGCGGAAUUCCGGGUGUAGCGGUGGAAUGCGUAGAGAUCCGGAGGAAGACCGGUGGCGAAGGCGGCCUGCUGGGCAGUUCUGACACUGAGGCGCGACAGCGUGGGGAGCAAACAGG
rnacentral:rRNA from 1 species